rnacentral:lncRNA from 1 species
ACUGUCUCUACCAAGGCGACUGAAACAUACACAGAAACCUCCUUUUGUAACUGUGCACACGAUCCAGGGAUUGGAACUGCUGCAAGAGAUUAAUGGGCGCCCCGGGCAGGAGAUUAGUGAGAUUUCAGCAGAAAAACAAAUACUGGAUAUUCUCUCUCCUGUGAAGAAGCAGCACACCUAUGGGGCUUGAUCAUGGAUGAGUGUGAGAGACUGAGGAAGGAAGAGGAAGGACAUCAAGGAACUAGAUGCUUAGUGCCUGAACCCUGUCAGAUGGACUAAAGAACAAGAAGUGAAAAAGAAGUCCAGUCAAGCAGCUCGCACCUGUAGCUCCACACUUGGGAGGCAGAGGCCGAAGGAUUGCUGCGAGUGUGAGAUUAACCUUCCACGGGGGAACUUCAAAAACAGAAAUGAGAAGAUAAGCCUCAAUGUCUAGAAGCUCUACUGACAUCCAUGAAUUCCUGCCUCACAGGCAAUCCAUUCGUGGUACUCAGUCUAGAGUUUACAAAAGAGAAGCUGAACACAUCAUGGAAGGCAUAACUCACUGGAGGACUGUCACAGUGUACCCAGACAGCAAGAUCUGCAUGCUUCUCUGAUCUGUGCUGAUGGUGGCCAUUAAUCUGCUCCAGACAUCUUCUUCCAUCUAGGAUCCAGGAAAAGGCCAGCCCUUCUUUACAGCUUGCCAUUAUCAAACAGUGGAGAAAUGACCCACGUUGAACAUCAUGACAAAGCCAGAUUUAAAACCAUCAUGUUGCAUUAUAAUGCCAAAUCCUGCGGCACACAGUGUCAGAUAAAAGCACAUUUGUAAUUUUUCCAAUCCAGGAAUCUCAGAUGUGCUUAUAAAUAAGCAAUAAAUAAGCAACUUCUCGGAAGAUGCAUGACUUUAUCUCUUCAUUUAGAAGUCAGAGGAGAGUCAGGCAAGGAUCCUAGCAAGAAUCUGCAGGAAUAACAAAGAUAUGAAGAUGUAAGCUGUCCUCCAACUCCAUGGAACUCAGCCUUCUGGUCUACUGUAUGUGCAACACAUCUCUGCUGGAGCAAAGGGAAGCGGGUGCUACCAUAUUGGAGAACUCGGACUUGCUUUUCUUUUCGCUUUAAUGAAAGUACACACAUAUCCACAGCCUCUGAGUGAGCAUUUAUAUUUCUAAAGUUAAAGCCACAGGUUUACACUAUACACUUCAACAAAAUCUGCUUGGAGGAAGUGUCCCAACCUUGUCACACCAGGUCUUGCUUGCAAAGUUUCUCUGACUUGUCCACACCUGAAUGCUAUACAGCCAGGGAAAGUGGAAAAUUACUCAUUCACACAAUUAACCUGAAUAUCAUCUAUACAGUGUUCAUUCUAAGACCAACUCUGCAUGAUUCCCUCUGAUUGUAGGGAGGUGGUGAUGAUGGUCAGACAGGUUUGUGACGAGAAAUCCUGAUCUGCCUGAGGUGAGCUUCUUGCUUCUAACUUGCUUAUAUGCCUGCCUAUGAGCAGAAACCUGCAUGUACUUUUCCAUCUGGGACUGUUUUGCCCAAGUCUUUUCCUUCUUGAUCUUCAGUGUUCCAAGGGAUUUGUCCUGGAAUGUUCUUACGUUAUUUAGCUACCAAUAUAUGCUCCUGCUCUGGAUUAAGCAGAGGCCAUGUCGGGGGUAAAAUUGGUUCCAUUGAUGAACUAUUUUUAUUACUCAAAAUUCAUCAUUUAUUGACCUUAAAUCUUUCAUGGCACGGUGCAACACCAACCUCCAGUUCUACCCUAGACUUAGAGCGAGCUCUGCCCACUAGACCUACUCAUUGUGGAUGGAUGCCAUGGUCAUCUUACUCAGUCUUGGUUGUAGAUAGCUGUCUAUACCUUGUAUUUCUCAGAAACUAUCACAAACCUCCCCUUAUUGCCCUGAGGCCAUUUCACUCUCCCUUACCCAUCUCUUAUCCCAUUUUCAUGAAAUCCACCAAAAAGUCUCAACACUGGCCUGGGUAUGGUGAUUGGUGGGGAACAUCUACUGUCCUGAGCCAUUGAUGGUGUUGUGAUGUACAGUGUGCGUUCAUAUACAUUGCUGUGCUCCUGUGUGUAUUCAUAUGCAUGUGUGCAAGUAUGUAUGUGUAUGAGUGUUGUCAUGGAGUAGGAGACCUUGUACUCAUAAAUGCAGGUACAUGUAAGUACAUGUGUUAAUUGUGUGCAUGCACAUUCAGUGUACACACAUGUAUUUAUAUGGGUCUAUAUGUGUACAUAUACACACACUACUCCUGGUUACAAGUGAUGUAUUUUACUUGUGUGUCAUCUCCCCCACUAAUUAUUUAACAAUUUUCAUGGAAAGAGAGCACCUGGAUGACUCUUGUCCACUGGAGACCCUCUUACUAAACAUGGGGAGGUCUAAGCAUGCAGAUUGCAUAUAAAAAGCUGGCAGAGUUGCAGGUGCACUGUUACCAGGCAGGCAGUCAUCUCUUAAGUUCCUUGGAAGCAAUAGAGAAGAGUCACUGGGGAAGGUGGUGCUGGCUUGACUGUCUCUUGACUUGCCCCUGCUCUUUAGAUGGCUGUCUGUCCCUGCAUACCUCUUCUAUCAGAUGUGCCAUGGCCUUCCUGAAAAUCCUUCAAUAGCUCUGUCUUGCUCUGGGGUUGAAAUCCUGACUUGCUUCUCAGAUCUCGUCCAUCUGUCCGCCUUCGUUCCCACAGAAUAUAACCUGCAGAAUGUUCUAGAAGAAGCUCCAGAGCCUGAUGUUUCUUGGGGCCACUCUCUGAAUGUUUCUAGUUCUGGUUAUUUUCAUGCUUUUUUCAUUCUAGAAAGCUCUUGUCUAUCAUCUGUGACCAGUGUUCACCGCCUCUCCCUCAGGGUGCUAUUUCUAGACCCUUUUAAACUUUGUGGUAGAGCCCCCAUCUUGCUUUUAUUGGAGCCAUUAAUGCACACAUCUGUUUGUCCUAGCAGACAGAAUCCCAAGAUGCUAUUUAUUUUAAACCCUGGCUUUCACAUCAUCCCACCCAGCUAACACUAAAGCCAUCAUGAAUCACCCGCAGGGACAGCUGUGCUCUCCAUCAUGGCCUUUGCAAGUGUUCUCCCAGACACUGCAUGCAUGCUAAGUUCACACCCUCUUCACUUGUUGGCCUAGAUGUCAAGGGACACUGAGGAGAUGCAGAGCUGUGUCUCUCAACUUCUAGGCUCCUA